GUAGUCAUAUGCUUGUCUCAAAGAUUAAGCCAUGCAUGUCUAAGCACAAACCUUUACACGGCGAAGCUGCGAAUGGCUCAUUAGGCCACCCAUGAUUUAUUAGAUCGUACAAUCCUACUUGGAUAACUGUGGUAAUUCUAGAGCUAAUACAUGCAAGUAAGCUCCGACCCCUCGGGGAAAGAGCGCGUUUAUUAGAUCAAAACCAAUCGGGUCCUCGGAUCUGCACGUUUGGUGACUCUGGAUAACUUCGAGCUGAUCGCAUGGCCUCGCGCCGGCGACGUAUCUUUCAAGUGUGUGCCCUAUCAACUGUCGAUGGUAAGUGAUAUGCUUACCAUGGUGGCAACGGGUAACGGGGAAU
rnacentral:rRNA from 1 species